GGCGACAUGGCCGAGUGGUCUAAGGCGCUGGAAUUAGGUUUUCCCCUUGUUUAAUUGGGUGAUUAUGUAAUCCAGUCUCUUUCGAGGCGUGGGUUCGAACCCCACUGUCGUCA